rnacentral:lncRNA from 1 species
UCGCAAAUUGAAUUAGUAUCGGGCCUUGAUCUGUGAGGAUUCAGGUGAUGGUGCACCGCUUAGAAUUCCGGCAUCUCCAUGUCGACGGUGUUCAUCAUCAUCUUGUAAAGAAAGUUCCCCUCUCCCUUAUUCAUCGUCACUGAUUUCUCCCCUCGGACGCCCUCUUCCCCACUCCCACUCGUUGUUCUUCUCUUCCCCGCAAUUUCCCGGGCCGACGGCGACGGGGCCGGGGGCGGGGCGCAUAAAGCAAAGGGCAACUGCCUACUGGCACUGGAUUAGCGUCGAUUAAUUCCUCUUUUGUUCUUGGUAAGGAAACCCUAGCUUGACGGACGAACUGUUCUAGGGUGUUGAUUUGUUUUUGGGAUUCUUUCCUUGCUGUGGCGGUGAGCAAUCAGAAUCAAAACCUGAAUCUUUCUUUCGUUUCCCGUCCAGCUAAUCGCCGAUUGAUUGCUGCUUUGUGCCAUACUAAUAAUUAUUCUGUUCCAUGGUCCGAUUAGGUUCCUCUACUUCCGCGCGCAAGAUCGGUCCGAGGCGCGGCGGCUAAUCCCGUCGGAAAAUCGAGGGUCCAACUGAAGCCGAU